rnacentral:rRNA from 1 species
AUUGAACGCUGGCAGCAGGCUUAACACAUGCAAGUCGAACGAGUGGCGGACGGGUGAGUAAUGCGUGAGAAUCUGGCUUAUGGAGGGGGAUAACGAGGGGAAAAUGUCGCUUAUACCGCGUACCCUAGGAUGAGCCCAUGAGGGAUGAGGUAUUGGGUGGGGUAAUGGCCUACCAAGCCGACGACCUCUAGCUGGUCGGAGAGGAUGACCAGCCACACCGGGACUGGGACACGGCCCGGACUCCUACGGGAGGCAGAAGUGGGGAAUAUUGCGCAAUGGGGGCAACCUGACGCAGCCAUGCCGCGUGGAUGAAGAAGGCCUUCGGGUUGUAAAGUUCUUUCGGUGAGGAGGCGUUAAUCGCAUAAGAAGCACCGGCUAACUCCGUGCCAGCAGCCGCGGUAAUUC